UUGGCUCUCACCUCCUGAAUCGUCACUUCCGUACAAGAGUGAGUGAGGAUUACGUGAAGGCUGAGGAGGAGGAGAUGCAGUAAGGUGUACGGAAAGGGUCGGGGGUUUGUUGGGAUUUAGGUGUGUGUGUAUGUGUAUAGGGGGCCCAGAAGUCGACACACACACGAGUGAUGAGGCGGAUGAGGGCGCUCAUCGGGGAAGGUACCCCGCCGGGUUCC
rnacentral:lncRNA from 1 species